ACAGUGCUAACCCCCACACCUCCAUCCAGCUCAUCUUCCAACUUACACUGUUAGAAACAGAACUACACAUUAAACCUCCACCUGAAUCGCCUCCAUGGUAACAUCCUCUCUUCAGCUCCAUCUCAUCUUCCAUCUAGCUCCAUUAACUUGAGACUAAAAUGAUACAGCUCCAUCUGCAGUCUCUGACACCCACCUGCAAAGCAUCCACCUCCAGGAAGAAAAAUCCACCUUCCUUCUAUACCGACCACCUCUGACAUCAAGAAACUAAAUCCACCUUCAGCCUCCACCUUCUCGCACCACCCUUAAGCUCCACCUGCAGUCUCUGCCAUCAACCUGCAAAGCAUCCACCUCCAGGAAGAAACAUCCACCUUCAACCUCCACCUGCUGCUUUUACCAUCCACCUGCAGAAAAUUCCAGCCUCACCUCCUUCUGCAGUCUCCUCCUCCAUCUUCCAGCUGAUAAGGGAGGUGUUGAUGAAAGGAAGCUUCAUGGCCGACAUCAGGAAGUUCAUCAGUGAUCAGACAGACAAUGGUCAAGUCUACGCAGAGUCAAAUGAAGAGCACUUCCUCAGAGACCAUCGUG